rnacentral:rRNA from 1 species
GCAAUCUGCCCUUCACUCUGGGACAAGUACAGGAAACGGGGUCUAAUACCGGAUAAUACUCCUGCCCGCAUGGGUGGGGGUUAAAAGKUCCGGCGGUGAAGGAUGAGCCCGCGGCCUAUCAGCUUGUUGGUGAGGUAGUGGCUCACCAAGGCGACGACGGGUAGCCGGCCUGAGAGGGCGACCGGCCACACUGGGACUGAGACACGGCCCAGACUCCUACGGGAGGCAGCAGUGGGGAAUAUUGCACAAUGGGCGAAAGCCUGAUGCAGCGACGCCGCGUGAGGGAUGACGGCCUUCGGGUUGUAAACCUCUUUCAGCAGGGAAGAAGCGAAAGUGACGGUACCUGCAGAAGAAGCGCCGGCUAACUACGUGCCAGCAGCCGCGGUAAUACGUAGGGCGCAAGCGUUGUCCGGAAUUAUUGGGCGUAAAGAGCUCGUAGGCGGUCUGUCGCGUCGGAUGUGAAAGCCCGGGGCUUAACCCCGGGUCUGCAUUCGAUACGGGCAGACUAGAGUGUGGUAGGGGAGAUCGGAAUUCCUGGUGUAGCGGUGAAAUGCGCAGAUAUCAGGAGGAACACCGGUGGCGAAGGCGGAUCUCUGGGCCAUUACUGACGCUGAGGAGCGAAAGCGUGGGGAGCGAACAGGUUUAGAUACCCUGGUAGUCCACGCCGUAA